ACAAAAUACUUUGCUACAUACUUCACACGGCCGAUUGAAUAAAUGAAAAUCAAACGGAUAUGACUGCGAAUCUCACAUUUUUGGUUGGCUGUCAAAGGGGAAGGAUAAACUAAGUGAAUUGAAUCAGCAGAAUAUUUGAUGAAAGUCUACUGAACAAUCUUGAGCUAUCAGAAUUCUGUACUCGCAAAUCGUCACUAAGAAAGAUGCAUCGGCCAAAUGGAUUCCUUGCGCCGAGGGAACACGCAUACUUGCAAGUCAUGAAAAUGGCAAUGAAGCAAAAUCGACUACUCGCUCUGCCGCCUAAAUAUUGUAUGGGAUUUAAGAAAAAAAUAAUUACGAUGAUAAUGAUGGGCAUUGCUUUUACUCUGCCCCCAAUAAUAUGUCUCGUUAAAAUCAGCAGAAUUCCCAUGAGAGGGAUGCCUUCGGAAUAGAAGCUAUUUUCAUCAGGAAUGGUUGUUCAAGAGCAAGCAAAAAUUGUUUCUACAAAAUAAAGUAACACACGUACACGUCGGGGAAUUUAUAAAAGGAAUAAAAGGUGCUCUACCAGUUUGCAA